UUUUUUCAAAGUAGUUAAUUUGUUUACUUAAAGCUUAUGUCAUGGAAUUUCUUUUUUCAAUUUGUUUUGAAAAUAUUAAUUUCUUUUUUUUUUUUUCUAAAGGUUGAAAUUUGAAUAGUAAUUUCUUAAAUCUAUUACGAAAUUAAGUAAUAUUGAAUUUUUAUAAAAAUUUAUUUCUUUGCACCUCAUAUCACUCAGUCGAGUGUCUUGCGCCAUGCACCUAGGCUCCAAAACCCCUUAGAGCUUUAGUGCACCUUGCGCUUUUAAUAAUUAUGCCACCCAAGCAAUCAAUACUUUCUAUAUGUUAAAUUCUCAUUUUUCUACAAUACCAAUCAUGGAAAAUUAGUUUCUACACUCUACUUCCCCACCAACUUUUCCAUCUUUCUUUUUUGUUCCACUAUGCACAUUGUCAGAUCAGAACUCAAUCAUUUGACAACAAACACAGUCACAUGAAUCAAUUGCUUGCAGAGAAAAACUCAGUUCAUGCAUUGACCAAUGAAAAUUAAAUAUUAAUCAACCAUAUGGCAUGGGUUAAUUAAAUCAUCAUUCACAUUUUGAUGUUGUCAAGCUGUUAACUGCCUGUGUUACUUAUUCUAUCAUACUCUCCAAGUCCACAGACAAAGUUCUAGUUAUCUAUUCCCAAAAGUUGGCAGACUAACUGAGAUUAGUCAUUUCCAAAAGAUCAUUUCCAGCAAUUGCAGUCUGAAGAAAUGAUAAUAUAUCCUUUCUGUUCAGCUAAUCUUAUAAAGGUAUUAUUGCAUUUUCAGAGGGAAGAAAGAUCCUAUAGAUAUGAUCAAUUUAUGAUCCUAUAAUAUCUAUCCAUAUUUGAUCUAUUUGCUAGAAUUCAAGCAUCAAUGUUGGUGAGGAGAAAAAAAUCAAACCAAAGGGACCACUCAAAUACUAAUAUUAUGGACAUAAAUAAUAUCCGCAAGGAAUUGUUUUCAAAUAAUAAAACAAAUCAAAUUUACCACUCUAGCUCGAACAAUAUCCCUCAAUCCAGCUACUGAUACAUCAUAAACUGAGAACCGAAUUGAGGAUGCAAUUAAAUGAACAAUCAAUUAAACCAAAUAAAAAAACAAAAGCAAUCACAAUCCUCCACUCACAUUAUCUAAUUUUCUCUUUCCCUGAGCUUCUCCUUGCUGCUUCCUUAACCUUCUCAAUGUAUCCUUCAAUUGGGGGAGUCAGGGUCGCCAUGAACCUGUUCACUGGAAAAGGCGUCAAAUCUGGAACCAAAGCAGCCUGCUUCAACUUCUCUGGCAAUGCCUCAAUGGCCUCCUUCUUCAACCUCAACAGGGUCGACUCUGCUGCUUGUCUGGCCCUGUGCUUCCUCAUCAAAACUCUGCUAUACUCCUUGGCCAAUCUCUUCCCAUCCUCCUCAGUCAGCUCAUACUUGGGUAUCUUAUCCACAUCCACCAAUCCAAGAGCUAUAAGGUCCAAUCCAGGAGUUCCCAUGAUCAUCGGCUCAUCAGGAACUCCCAUGGAUUGCCUGCCUCCUUUCUUGAGAAUUUCUUUCUCGCGCUUCCUCUCCUGGCUUUCAAGCCCCAACUUCUCGCGCUCGGCUUCACGCGCUCGUUCUUUGGGUUUGAGGAAACGAACUGGGGUAGGGGCAUUGAUGCAUUCCUCGUACAAACGGUACUUCUCGGCGUCUUGACGCGAGAAUGAAGGUGACUUAGAAGGAUCUUGAUCUUUGGAGCCUUUCUUAGCGGAUAUUUUGUUGCGUUUCUUGGGUUGACCAUCUUUCAUUUUGGCCUUGCCUUUGGCUGUUCCGCUCACAGAACAUCGUUGGACGAAUUGGUGGGCUAGUGGCGACAGAGGUCUAGCUCUUGUGAUUCGAAACAUUCUUCUUCUUCUUCUUCUGUUUUCUCUAUCAAAUUCAAUUGUUUAGGGGUUUUUAUUAUCGUCUGAUCAAAGGGAUGGUAAUUGGGUGUAUUUGUGUUUCUGUUUGGCUGUAUUUGUGUUUCUGUUUGGCGAGGAAGAAAUUGAGGGAUUUGCAGAGUGUGGACUUCCAGUAGUUACAGUGACAG
rnacentral:misc_RNA from 1 species